rnacentral:rRNA from 1 species
GGAGCGAACGCUGGCGGCAGGCCUAACACAUGCAAGUCGAACGGACUCUUCGGAGUUAGUGGCGGACGGGUGAGUAACACGUGGGAACGUGCCCUUUGGUUCGGAAUAAGCUCGGGAAACUGGGUCUAAUACCGAAUGUGCCCUUCGGGGGAAAGAUUUAUCGCCAAAGGAGCGGCCCGCGUCUGAUUAGCUAGUUGGUGGGGUAAAGGCUCACCAAGGCUACGAUCAGUAGCUGGUCUGAGAGGAUGAUCAGCCACUAGUCGGACU